rnacentral:tRNA from 7 species
GGCGGCAUCGCCAAGUGGUAAGGCAGAGGACUGCAAAUCCUUCAUCCUCGGUUCGAAUCCGAGUGCCGCCUCCA